AUAUACGUUGAACGAUAAGUCGAGGCUGAUGAGCAACGGGCUAUCGAACGCAUUAUGCAGGGAAAGAGACAAGCGUCACUUGUCGGGGCUUGAAAUUUUCUGAUUUCAUGCAAAGGAAAAUCAACGUGGAGGGGGAAGUAUGGAUACUCGUCUGAGGACCCUGCAGCCUGAUGCCAAAGUACACCGCUACGAUCGCUGUCGAUACACUCCCUACGCGAUGGGUUAAGGCAAUGGAAGCAAAUAAAAUAUAGUUUCUGUUAUCUUGAAAUGAAAGUGACGGUUAUCGAUAACGAAAGUCAUUAGAUAUCUUCAAUUUUGUGUCGAGAGAUAAAUCAGAAUACAAAAAUCUACGAUAAUGUAUGAAUCUUUAAAACUCGUAGCGCACGUUAGAAAUAUAAUUCCACGAAGAAUGCUUAAUUGAGAAAUAAAACGAAACAUUCAAAAAUAGCAAAUAGCAAAAUAGCACUUUACGUCGGUGUGAUGACACUUUGGAAUAAACAUUUGAUAGAAAUAUUAAUUCCCACUGAAGCAAACAAUGAACCAAGUUUUCGAGCUUUCGGCCAAUAACAAAACACUUGCGCAAUGUCACACGUUCGCACAUGCGUUCGUAAAUAGCGCAUGCGAGUAUAAAUUCAUCGGCACGCUUGAAAACGAGUUUGCUAUUUUUGAGAAGAGAGCGCCGACGAUGCAGUUGUCGAGGCAAAUAUGACGCCUCUCGUGAAUGCAUUCACGAUAAUACGUUCACAGUACAGGGAUUGAAGGUUGUCGAGAUGUAAGAAAAAUACAUACUGUACGAUCCGUGUGGUGGAGAAUUCAAAUAAAAAAUAAACAACGAAAAUUCGAAUAUUUUUAUAUCGGCAGAACAAUGAAGAAUGACGAAUGACUCGAUAUCUGACUGGACAUGUUAAAAAUUUUCUAUACUGGUAAUAAAAACAGAAUAAAAUUAAAAAAUCAUGUUAGAAUUGUCAGUUGAGAAAAAGCGAUAGAGAGGCACAAGUCAUCAAGUCUUACUGAACCUUGUUACUGCAAUCACAUGUGCCCGCUGUUCUCCCACCGCCACUACUCAGGCCCGUAUUCGUUCGUUCACGGCACCACGUACCCAACAUUCCACCACAUUCAUUGCCCUCUCUCUUUUUAUUCCUCAUUCCUUGCCUCGCUCCCCUUUCCAACGUCCUACUUUCUACCUGUUACUCAGAGCUCAGAGUCCUUUGUGACGCUGCGAGAGAACUAAUGCUCCCGUUCUCUCUUCAAAUUUAAUCAAUUUUUCACCUUUCACAUUCCAUUUUAUUCGUUUAUAUUCAACGAGUGUUUUAAUAUUUUUUUUCACGAUAUUUAUAAGUUACUAUUCUUCGUUAUUUUCGACGAUAAAUUGGACCAUUUCUGUAACUCAUGUUUCUACGAAUUCUAACCUGUUUUUUGACGGACUCUAGUUGUUUGUGUAUUUAUAGAACAAUAACCAAUUGUUUUCGUCAUUAUCGCAUACGUGUAAUUUACUUCGAGUUGACGAACACUUUUUCCCAAAAUACUAUCAUUAGCAUUUGACAGAUUUUAUAAUAUUACGACGAUGAACGCAGUUUUCUAUUGAUUAAAAUAUUUGUUCGAAACUUAAAAAAAAAAAAAAUCGACACAAUGCUGUUUGCAGUCCCGGCGUACUGUUCUAUGGAGUAUAUCAAUAUUAGCGAUUUUCUCUGAGUUUAUCAUGUUGAUUUUUUCUAGAUUCGAUCAUCAUUGACUGAACUUCCAUAUAAUUUGCAGAAGAAAAUAUAAUCAUGAGCUAAUAGCCUGGUAAAAAAGGAAUAGAAUUAUAAAUAUCAAACGAUCGUGUCGCAAGUAUUGAUUAAUCGAGCAACAGGUCAAAUCGACGAGAAACGUUUACGAAUAAUGUGGAAUCAUUUGACUACGACCAUGUAAUGUAUUCCUAACGAAUGUACAGGUCAUAUAGUUUCCUAUCUCUCAUGAACUCCUGGUACAUGUUUCGUAUUUUAGUAAAUGGAUAACUGUAAUCAUACGGCUCUGAUAUUCCGACGAUGUAAGCACGUUUUUAUUUAAAGUGAAAAAAAAAACGUUGGAAGGUGCUAUGAAUCUACAUGACAUAUAUUUUGUUACAGUAUAAAAUAAAUGAAAAGUAUAACAAA